AUGGCCCUCAACAAGAAUCACUCGGAGGGCGGCGGAGUGAUCCUCAACAACACCGAGAGCAUCCUGAUGACUUAUGAUCAUGUGUAACUUACAUUCAGGGACAUGAAGAACGUGCCCGAGGCCUUCAAAGGGACCAAGAAAGGCACCGUCUACCUUACCCCGUACCGGGUCAUCUUUCUGUCCAAAGGCAAGGAUGCCAUGCAGUCCUUCAUGAUGCCGUUUUAUCUGAUGAAGGACUGUGAGAUCAAGCAGCCCGUGUUUGGAGCAAAUUACAUCAAAGGAACGGUGCAGGCUGAAGCAGGAGGUGGCUGCGAAGGCUCUGCGUCAUACAAGUUGACCUUUACGGCAGGGGGCGCCAUCGAGUUUGGACAGCGGAUGCUACAGGCGGUAUCUCAAGCCUCCCGAGGCAAAGCCCCCAGUGGAGCCUAUGGGUAUUCUCACAUGCCCAGCGGGGCCUAUGUCUUUCCCCCCGCCCGUCGCCAGUGGAAUGUACCCCUGACCUCCUGGCUACCCCUAUCCACCGCCCCCACCUGAGUUCUAACCAGGACCUCCCAUGAUGGACGGGGCCAUGGGAUAUGUGCAGCCUCCACCACCACCCUACCCUGGGCCCUUGGAACCUCCAGUCAGUGGCCCUGAUGUCCCCUCCACUCCUGCAGCUGGAGCCAAGGCUGCAGAAGCGGCGGCCAGCGCCUAUUAUAACCCGGGCAACCCACACAACGUCUACAUGCCCACGAACCAGCCUCCGCCACCUCCUUACCACCCCCAGAAGAUAAGAAGACCCAGUAGACCCCUCCUGCCCCUGCCUCCCAUCCCUUGUCACUCUUCCCUUCCCUUCCCUUCCCCUUGGGGCUGAGGCUGGGGCUAGGGGGGUGAUGGAAGGGCCUUGUUCUUCCUCCAGGUCUGAUUAUAAAACACUUCGCAGGGACUGGUGUUGAGGGAAGGGGGGGCCCUUGACUUGGGAGCUGUGCCUCCCCGCUUCUGAAGCUAGCUCGGAGCCCACGGCACCGGCUUGGAUGCGCUUCCCUCUCACCGUGUCUGGGGCUCUGCUCAGGACCGUGGGCAUCCAUCUCGCUCCUGUCUUGCUCUAGUAGCUUCUGCCCAUGGAAGGAUUCUGGUCACCUCCUCUACCGCAGUCCAGCGCCCUCGUGUUGGAAUCCACUUUAUAUUCAGCCUUGUGACCUCCCUCAGACCAGCCUCGCGUCUUCCUGAGGGCCCCCGCCGGGCCCCCCUCACAUUCUCUCCACGCUGGUCUCUGCCUCCCCAUGGAACGCCACCUUCUCACCGGACUGUCAGCCCACAUUCCAAUCCCAGCCAGCCUCCAGCCAGGUCACGCUCACCUUCGCCUCCCUGUCCUGUCCUUGGUCACCUGUUGCCACCACUUUGACUUUUGGAGC